GACGGACGCUGGCGGCGUGCUUAAACAUGCAAGUCGAACGGUAAGGCCCUUCGGGGUACACGAGUGGCGAACGGGUGAGUAACACGUGGGUGAUCUGCCCUGCACUUCGGGAUAAGCCUGGGAAACUGGGUCUAAUACCGGAUAGGACCACUGCCUGCAUGGGGUGUGGGGGAAAGCUCUUGCGGUGUGUGAUGGGCCCGCGGCCUAUCAGCUUGUUGGUGGGGUGAUGGCCUACCAAGGCGACGACGGGUAGCCGGCCUGAGAGGGUGACCGGCCACACUGGGACUGAGAUACGGCCCAGACUCCUACGGGAGGCAGCAGUGGGGAAUAUUGCACAAUGGGCGCAAGCCUGAUGCAGCGACGCCGCGUGAGGGAUGACGGCCUUCGGGUUGUAAACCUCUUUCAGCACCGACGAAGCGCAAGUGACGGUAGGUGCAGAAGAAGGACCGGCCAACUACGUGCCAGCCGCCGCGGUAA
rnacentral:rRNA from 1 species